AUUGAACGCUGGCGGAAGGCCUAACACAUGCAAGUCGAACGAGUGGCGGACGGGUGAGUAAUGUCUGGGAAACUGCCUGAUGGAGGGGGACAACUUGUGGAAACGGAAGAUAAUAUCGCCUAACAUAAGAAGUGCCCAGAUGGGAAUAGCUAGUUGGUGGGGUAACGGCUCACCAAGGCGGAGAUCCCUAGCUGGUCGGAGAGGAUGACCAGCCCCACUGGAGCUGUGACACGUUCCAGCAUCCUACGGGAGGCACAAUUUGGCAAUCUUCCACGAUGUGCUGAUCCCUGCUGCUGCUCUUGCGCGUGUAUGUUGACGUGCUUCGGGUUGUGAUGUACUUUCUGCUUGGAACCGUUUCCCACAGAAUAAGCACCGGCUCACUCCGUGCCAGCCGCCGCGGUAAUUC
rnacentral:rRNA from 1 species